rnacentral:precursor_RNA from 10 species
GUUCAAACACUGGAACUGGUUGCCCAGAGGUGGUGUGGGGUUUGGAUCUCAGUUAAAAUCUCACUGGAGACCAUACUGCACAGCCUUCUCUAGGUGACCCUACUUGAGCAAAACAGUU